AAGGUGCUAGUAUAAAAGAAAUUACCCUGCUUUGUCAAGGCAGAGACGCAAGUUGAAUCCUUGCGCACCUUG
rnacentral:tRNA from 1 species